AUGUAUGUUGAUGUGCUCAUAUUUUCUUAUAUUUCUAUGCCUCUUUCUCUUGGAGUCUUGGUGUGUUUCAAAGAAAGAAGAAAAGAAGCUAAGUUGAGCUAACUAACACAGAAAAUUGUUGUGCAGAACACCUAACUUCGCUGAAUUACUGGGAACUGCUCGGAUGGAAUUAGAAGCUGUAAUCUAUAUGCACGGAAAGCCCUAUGUGUCUAGUUUCUGAGGAAAUUUACGGUUUGCGAUUCUGACUUUUCUAGAAGAAGUUAUGGCAAUUUAAUUGAAGGCAGUUCAACUUGGACGAGAAUCUGCAACAUCUUUUACAAGUUCAUGUCUAGAAAGCCCAACAAUAUAUUUGAAAAUCUUCAGUGUGCCGCAUCAUCAUUAUUGAAGAUUCAGGACUUUCAGACAUGUUUAUAUACGUGU
rnacentral:lncRNA from 1 species